GAUGAACGCUGGCGGCGUGCCUAAUACAUGCAAGUCGAGCGAACAGACGCGGAGCUUGCUCCUCUGACGUGAGCGGCGGACGGGUGUGUAACACGUGGAAACCGUCCUUAUAAGUCGGGGAACACCACGGGAAACGGGCUCUAAUACGGUAGAAUAUCUUGAACCGCAGGGUGGAAUGGUGAAAGACGGCUUUGCUGUCUGUUAUAGAUGGUUCCGGGCUGCAUUUGCUAGUUGGUAAGUUACCGGCUUACCAAGGCAACGAUGCGUGGCCGACCUGUGGGGGUGAUCGCCCACACUGGAACUGAGCCACGGUCCAGACUCCUACGGGAGGCCGCAGUAGGGAAUCUGCCGCAGUGGGCGAAAGCCUGACGGAGCAGCGCCGCGUGAGUGAUGGAGGUCUUCGGAUCGUAAAACUCUGUUAUUGGUGAAGAACAGAUUUGUAAGUAACUGUGCACUUCUUGACGGUACCUAAUAAGAAAGCCACGGCUAACUACGUG
rnacentral:rRNA from 1 species